AGAGUCCCAUUUAUACCAUCACUUCCGAGGUUCACUUCCUCUUCGCUUCGUCUGCUGUUGUACGAGCAUCCUGGCUAGCGAAUGAGCUGAAUAAGGGAUCAAAUACGGUAUCAAUGUUGUUGAUCGGGCAUCCAUCCCUGCUCCUUCUGGCUGCAGUAGUGGACGCGGCAACCUGUACAGACCAUAGAUAAUCGAAUUGCCAACAAUCAUGACCUUCAGAGAUGAGACCUCUGAAGAAACCCAGACAAGGAUGUCAAUUGGUACUCUACAUGAAAUGGUGUCAUGAUGAACCAUCUCUACCUUAACACCCAGAUAGAGUCUGGCCCCAGCCCAUAGGAUCAAUUUGAAGAUCCCCAAGAUGCCUGACCUCCUGCAGAGAAGAGGAUUCUGAAGAGAUCCAGACGAAGGGAUGGCACUUUCCUUAAAAAGGACCUCCAAGGCACGUAACCUGCAGAGGUGAGGAUUCUGACGACGCGAUGGCAAUUUACGCAUGAUGGUAAUAUUUUGGGAGUUGGUUCUAAAUAGUGGAUUGUAAAGAAAAAGAGUUUUCUAUUGCUGUAGAAAUGUAGGCUGUAGCUGGUUUGGGUAUCUUAAACUUGCUGUGAUGGUGUAAUUUGCGUCCUACUCUGUGACUGGUGACGGAUGCCUACUGUCAUAUGCCGGCAUAGAUGGAUGACGAACCUUGAUGCUGAGCAAGCUUUAACUUCUCUACUUAAGUCAAUGUAUGUCGUGUGGUUUAACCAAAUACAAUUCAGUGGCCUGUAUUUCAUUAGUGUACUCUUCUGCCUCAGGUGUCAUGAGGAACCAUCUCUACCUGGACACCCAGAUGGGAGUCUUACCCCAGUCCAUAGAAUCAAUCUCAAGACCUCCAAUACACCCGACCGCCUGCAGAGAAGAGGAUUCUGAAGGGAUGGGAAUUUCAGCGUUUAGCUUAAAAAGGACCUCCAAGACGCGUAACCUCCUGCAGAGAUGAGGAUUCUGACGACGCGAUGGCAAUUUACGCAUGAUGGUAAUAUUUUGGGAGUUUGUUCUAAAUAGUGCAUUGUGUAGAAUGAAUAGGCUUUUCUUGUGCUGUAGAAAUGUAGGCUGUAGCUGGUUUGGGUAUCUUAAUCUUGCUGUGAUGGUGUAAUUUGCGUCCUACUCUGUGACUGGUGACGGAUGCCUACUGUCAUAUGCCGGCACAGAUGGAUGACGAACCUUGAUGCUGAGCAAGCUUUAACUUCUCUACUUAAAGGGAAACUUCACCCAUUUCCAUUAAGCUUUAUCGUUGGUAACCCACUAGGGAUGGGCGAUAUGGUCUAAAAUCCAUAUUGCGAUAUACAUUGCAACCUAUUGCGAUAACGAUAUAUAUCACAAAAUAUAAAUCAUAAUAGAACCAUUUCAGAACAGGUUACAUAGACUCUAAGGAAAGCCAAACUGCUAAAUGUGUAAAACAAAAGAAAGAAACUUAGUAUGUCGUUUUGAGAACAUUUAUUGUCAAAGUGUAAUCAUACAACAUAAUGUUGUAGCUGCAGAGACUUUAACAAAGAAAAAAAUCUUCUGUGUAAUGACGUAUACUUCUCAAUUAAAUUAAAACUGGUGUCUUGUUAAUAAAGAAACGGAUACUGUGAAUUAGGGAAAUACGUCCAGUAUUAGGCAUGGCUAUUUUAAAUAAAGAAAAAUCUUCGAAGUGUGUGCACAGAUACUUGAUAUUAAAACAUAAAAGUGCAAAGUGAACGCAUACAAUUUUAAAAUGAACAUGAAAUGAGCGCAAUCACCAGCUCCUCCGUUUCGCUUUCAGCCAUAUUUGCUUAGAUGACGAUGAUGCGUUGAAGCCGGUUGCAGCUCAUGGCUCUUUAAAUUUUGCGGGUCGCAGAUGAUGCAUUGCAGCCGGUUGCAGCUCGUGGCUAAAUUUUGCAGGUCACGGACGAUGCGUUGCAGCCGGUUGCAGCUCGUGGCUCUUUAAAUUUCGCGGGUCGCGGAUGAUGCAAUGAGCUGGUUGCAGCUCGUGGCUCUUUUUACAUUUCGCGGGUUGCGGACGAUGCGUUGCAGACGUUUGCAGCUCGUAGCUCUAUCCAUGACCCUUUCUUUAUAUUUCGCGGGUCAUGGAUAGAUCGCGUCAAACAUGCAUUAUCGCGACAGAGAAAUAUAACUAAAAUCUAUCGUAGGCCAUUUUUUAUCGUUUAUAUCGUAUAUCGUUUAUAUCGCGCAUUCUAUAACCCACUCAUAUUUUUGAAUGGUCGUGCAUCAUUCCCUUAUUUUCUGGGGAGACUGGAGAGAUCCAUAUCGAUCUCCAACACUUCCUGUUUAAGAUGACGCAAUAUGACGAUUUUUGAGUAGAAGUAAAUAGGAAGUGUAAGAGGGGAGGAUUCUCGUGAGACUACAAGCACUAGUCCCACCCCUCUAUAGGGGGUGGGACCCACUGACGCUACAGACCUAUUAGAGCAGUGCCAGUGGGUGGGACCAACAGAAACUAACAUCCACAGCGUCUGAAGCUAAGCUAACAGAGGCUGUUGAUAAAACUGAAGUACAAUGGCGGAAGGUACUGGAUCUGACAUAGAAGAUGGCACCAUGCAAAAGUUCACCAUUUCGAAAGAAAUACAAACGAGGACUAAUUCAGAGUUCACCAACUAAUAUUCUUCACUAGAAAUGUUGUGUGAAAUGAUUUUCGAGCAGUCUUGCGGUAUCAGCUUGGUAGAUGGAACAGCGAUGUGUCCGAUAGGCGGAGAUCUAGUUCAGCGGGAGUGGCCAGCGAAGCUGUGCAUCGUGGUGCAUGGUGGAAGUUGUUGUCUUCAAUCCACAAGCGCCAAAAAGUCACUUUCUGCCUUUUCUCGGUCAAGACGGCACCAAAUUAGAAUUUUUAUUUAUUAUUCGACAACAUAUAGGACCCAAUUUCUAUACAUAUUCAUGCCUCCACCGGUGAAAUGCUCCUUAAGUCAAUGCAUGUUGUGGGGUUUAACCAAAUACAAUUCAGUGGCCUGUAUUUCAUUAGUGUACUCUUCUGCCUCAGGUGUCAUGAUGAACCAUCUCUACCUGGACACCCAGAUGGGAGUCUGACCCCGGUCCAUAGAAUCAAUCUCAAGACCUCCAAUACACCCGACCGCCUGCAGAGAAGAGGAUUCUGAAGGGAUGGGAAUUUCAGCGUUUAGCUUAAAAAGGACCUCCAAGACACGUAACCUCCUGCAGAGAUGAGGAUCCUGACGAAGCGAUGGCAAUUUACGCAUGAUGGUGUCAUGAUGAACCAUCUCUACCUGGACACCCAGAUGGGAGUCUGACCCCGGUCCAUAGAAUCAAUCUCAAGAUCUCCAAGGCACGUAACCUCCUGCAGAGAUGAGGAUUCUGACGACACGAUGGCAAUUUACGCAUGAUGGUGUCAUGAUGAACCAUCUCUACCUGGACACCCAGAUGGGAGUCUUACCCCAGUCCAUAGAAUCAAUCUCAAGACCUCCAAGACACCCGACCCCCUGCAGAGAAGAGGAUUCUGAAGGGAUGGGAAUUUCAGCCUUUAGCUUAAAAAAGUAAUAUUUUGGGACUCACUUGGAGAGCUAUUGAACUUUGAUCUAUAACAGUGAGAUUUUACUUCGGUCCGUGUUGUUGAUACUUGGUGAGAAUAACAAGUUCUGAGUUUACCAAACUCGUUUUUCGCUUGUGUCAGUGCCUGGAAAAUCUAACUUGAAUUAGUUUUAUCACGCCAGUGAUUAGAUCAACAGAUUCCAGCAGUGGGAAUGAAGACCCAGAAAGAAUAUAAAAAUGUAAGCAUUAUUCAGGUUCUGUCAAAUGAAGAUACUUGGCCCUUCAAAAUUGGCAGUACAAUGUUGGAUUUGGAUAGUUAUUAUUAAGCUGCACUUGAUUUACUUGGGUCCAUGUUGUUGAAACUCAUUAGAAAUGUUCAGUUAAGUACUUUGACUUCAGUCCUUAAAAAAAGUACUGCUGCAAAUGGCUAUUGCUGUAUGUAUUUUGUAGCAGGUUGCAUGUUAUCAUGGGACAUAAUUUGUAUUUCAGGAGAAAGCUGAUGGUACAGAAGCCUUUACCCUGAAUGCUGGCAGAAAACCCUGGUCACCUGCUUAUACAAAACAAUGUUCUGUUUAACUUUUCCCUUGAUUAAAGUACAAACGAUUUAAAAUGGUUCAUGCACCUUUCAAAUUAUUUUAAUGGCAAAGUUCAGUACAUUUUAAAAUUCCAUAAACAAAAUAAUUUGUUAAUCAAUGUUAUGACUCAAUUAGACUGAGGAUGGUUGAAACUCCAGAACUCAAUGCAGAGGCUUGAUUAACUGUAAAUAACUUUGAUCAUACAAUUCCUUCAGCCUUGAGAUCAGUUGCUCAACUUGGCCAAACAUGGGCUCAAACUGCAGUUAAGGAGUCAUUUGUAUUUUAUGGUUUCACUCGAGGUCAAUCUUCACACAUGUCUGCUCCCUGGACCACGUUAUUGGUACUGGGUUUCCUCAGGCAAAGGUGACCAGGCUGCAGCACACCACAGUGCUGAAGUAGGCCGGCUCCUCACUGUCUCUGUUCACCGUAGUGUUUGUGUAAUCUGGAACAGAACGACAAGUCGUACAGCAACAUGCAUCUGGAUGCUUUAACAUUACCUUGGGUACCGCUCACUAACGCACAUAAAUAACUGGAAUUCUCUCAGGUCACUUCAAAAUGACUCCAGUGAAUCAAAGCCAUAUGAUGUAAGGGAGCUCAUUUGUUUUUACACAGAAGUUUUCCAUUGCCAUAUUGAUGUUUGACUUGUAGGAAGAAGAGUCUAGGGGCUAUAUGUCAAAGUGGUCUAGAUUAAAAUCCUACCUGUAUCGAAGACGAUGUGAUCCACCAGUGGUUUCUCACUGAGCUGCAAGGUGGUCUUGACCUCCCGGGGGCUGUGGCCACUCGACACCUCCACGCCCCACACCACCGGGUGUUCCCUGAGGAAGAGGAUGGAGAUAUUUCGGGGCUGAACGAUUGGCGGAAAUAAUCCAUUUGGGAUUAUUUUGAAGAAUAUUGCGAUUUAAGUAUAUUAUGUUCUGUAAUCACUAAACAAGAAAUAUAUAAUUCUAUAGUAUGACCACAACAUUGGAAGCAGUCAAAUAUGAAGCGCUCUUACAUUAAGGUCAGGCCUGUGUUGAGAUUAAUUGAUAUAACAUCUACAAAAUCUCAGUGGAUAGUGAGAUGAAGACGUUGGGACAACACCCCUCAGUGGAUUGUGAGAUGAGGUUGUUUGGAACACGCCCAUGGAUGGUGAGCAGAAAGUGAGAUUCUUACUUCUGGUACAGGUGGCUGAUCAGAGCAGGUGUGAUAGGCAGCUGGAACUCGUGGUCCUCGUUAUAAGGGGAUGUCCUAAAGUACUGCAAACAUGACCUUUAAAAAUGAGAAAAUGUUUAUAUUAGGUUAUGCAUGCAACCAAGCCAAUGAUGGGCUGAGAUGUGUGCAGUCCAGCUGCUCUUACUGAGUGAGGCGAAACAGGCGAUCAAAGGGCAGACCCAGGAAUGUACUGCAGGUCACCAUAAUCUCCAGCAGGU